UACGGAGGGUGCGAGCGUUGUCCGGAAUCACUGGGCGUAAAGGGCGCGUAGGCGGCUUGGGAAGUCCGUGGUGAAAGCUCGUGGCUCAAUUACGAGUCGGCCAUGGAUACUCCUAAGCUCGAGUCGACUAGAGGCAGAUGGAAUUCCGGGUGUAGCGGUGGAAUGCGUAGAGAUCCGGAAGAACACCGGUGGCGAAGGCGGUCUGCUGGGGUCGAACUGACGCUGAGACGCGAAAGCGUGGGGAGCAAACAGG
rnacentral:rRNA from 1 species